GUCCCUGUAGUUCAACGGAUAGAAUAACUCCGUCCUAAGGAGCAGAUAUUGGUUCGAUUCCAGUCGGGGAUACCA
rnacentral:tRNA from 1 species